rnacentral:rRNA from 1 species
CCUACGGGUGGCAGCAGUGGGGAAUAUUGCACAAUGGGGGGAACCCUGAUGCAGCGACGCCGCGUGGGUGAGGAAGUACUUCGGUAUGUAAAGCCCUAUCUGCCGGGCCGAAAAUGACGGUACCUGACUAAGUAGCCACGGAUAACUACGUGACAGCAGCCGCGGUAAUACCGAGGGGGCAAGCGUUAUCCGGAUUUACUGGGUUUAAAGGGUGCGUAGUCGGGGUGGCAAGUCGGUCGGGAAAGGCCGGGGCUGAACCCCAGGACGGCCUUGGCAACUGGCCUGCUGGAGGGCGGGAGGGGGAAGCGGAAUGCGUGGUGUAGCGGUGAAAUGCGUAGAUAUUACGAGGAACACCGGUGGCGAAGGCGGCUUGCUGGACGGUAACUGACGUUGAGGCUCGAAAGCGUGGGGAGCAAACAGGAUUAGAUACCCGAGUAGUC